ACAAUUUUUAGCGACCGACGACAUUAUGUCUAAAAUUCCCUUACCAGGACUAAUAAGUAGAGUAAUUAAAGCUGUUUUAUUUAUAGGCGUAAACAGUACGAGUGAGAAAACGUAAACACUUUUGUUUUUAUGAUUUAAAAUGUUUUUCUUACUUAUAAUUUUACCAUCAGAGGAUUUUGUAUUUCUGGCGAUUCGUGACAUUGUGUGUGAGCUGAGUCUGGAUCGAUUCAAGAAGUACAGGCCUUCUGUAAGAUAUCAGUGCAAUUGACAUCAACAUCAAGUUCAAUAGAGGACACCAAGGACAACACGUUUGCUUUCCUGGACUGUGCAGUUCUCAUAUGGACUGAUGGGAAGCCCCUCUAUCUCUCUCUCUCUUUUCUCUCACACACACAUGUACCAAUGUCUGUUUGAUUCUCACCAGCCACUACAACACAAAUUAGGAGACAUCAGGGCUACACCGCAGGGUAGAAAGCCUCCUCACCCCAGCAGAAACCAAGAAUAAAGAAAUCGACUGAAAGCAGCCCUCAUGGCAUGUGAAUAUCCUAAGUGGGCUUUCAACAAGACAGAUUCUAACAGAAAGAAGUUGUACAGUCUAUGUAUAUUUUGCCACCCUGUAGAAGACACGGCUGUCUCCGAUGUUAAUGAUGGUAUAAUAAUUUCUGAAUUAAUUUGAUUGUUGGAGACUGCAUUUGCAUUCUCCCCUUGUGAAACUUUUGGUGUCUGCUUGUUUUCUAUGAGGUUUGAUGUUAUUCAGAACAGUAUUUUUAUUUUUAUCAUCUUUUUAUUAUCUGAUGGUUUAGAGAAUUCAUUUUACAUCUUUAUAGUUUGCAAGUUGCAUUUGUAUUCAGUAAUAUAACUUAUCUAAAAUAUUUAGUUAUGUUUACAAAUAUGGUAAACAGUUCUAGCUUAUGUGCAGAUGUCUAAUCAGUGUACCUAUUUGUAUUUCGAUACAUAUGAUGGUAACAUCACCUUAUUUUUCAGGAGUCAUCGUGUGAAGGUGUUUAAUUUGUUAAAGAUUCAGUGAAGCCAAUCACAUAAAAUCAGGAUUUAAACAGACAGAACUGAACUGUUAACUUCUUUGAUGAGCAACUUAGGUAUUGACUUUGACAAUUGAGGAACUGUGGACAAGAGUGCAUCUAAAUUAUUAUUAAAGUACAAUAUUCUAGAUAGUACUCUAAACAAGAACUGUAACUGACUGUAUCUACCUCUACAGCAUUAGUGAUGUAUCCCUAAAAUACAGCAUGUGCAGGGAGCAUGUUAUUAAAAAGUGACAAUGAAAAAUGCUAGUUUUUAGAAUAAAUCUUUAGAGAUGACAUGAAACCAACACUGCUUUACCUCAAUGUCUGCCAAUUAAUUGUUGAAUAAAACUGUACCAGGUCAUA